CUCCAGUUGAUCGCAUGGUCUUCUGGGAAAGCUUUCGCGGUAUGGGAUGGGGUCGCGCCCUAUCAGCUUGACGGCGGGGUAACGGCCCACCGUGGCUUCGACGGGUAGCCGGCCUGAGAGGGCGACCGGCCACAUUGGGACUGAGAUACGGCCCAGACUCCUACGGGAGGCAGCAGUGGGGAAUAUUGCACAAUGGGCGCAAGCCUGAUGCAGCGACGCCGCGUGAGGGAUGGAGGCCUUCGGGUUGUAAACCUCUUUUAUCGGGGAGCAAGCGAGAGUGAGUUUACCCGUUGAAUAAGCACCGGCUAACUACGUGCCAGCAGCCGCGGUAAUACGUAGGGUGCAAGCGUUAUCCGGAAUUAUUGGGCGUAAAGGGCUCGUAGGCGGUUCGUCGCGUCCGGUGUGAAAGUCCAUCGCUUAACGGUGGAUCCGCGCCGGGUACGGGCGGG
rnacentral:rRNA from 1 species